CCCUUAGAUGUCCGGGGCCGCACGCGCGCUACACUGAAGGAAUCAGCGUGGCUUUCUCCCUGACCCGAAAGGGUUGGGAAACCCGUUGAAUCUCCUUCGUGAUAGGGAUUGGGGCUUGAAAUUGUUCCCCAUGAACGAGGAAUUCCCAGUAAGCGCGAGUCAUAAGCUCGCGUUGAUUACGUCCCUGCCCUUUGUACACACCGCCCGUCGCUCCUACCGAUUUCGAGUGGUCCGGUGAACCUUUCGGACCGGGAGCAGCCUCGUGCUGCGCCUGGAAAGUCAAGUAAACCACAUCACUUAGAGGAAGGAGAAGUCGUAACA
rnacentral:rRNA from 1 species